GACCUUUGAAACAGUCAGCAAUAGUCCCGAACCUCAGAAGGCUGUAGAACAGGAGGAUGAGCUUUCUGAUGUUAGCCAAGGCGGAUCUAAAGCUACCACUCCAGCAUCAACAGCUAAUUCAGAUGUGGCAACAAUUCCUACUGAUACUCCCUUAAAGGAAGAAAACGAAGGAUUUGUGAAGGUUACAGAUGCGCCAAAUAAGUCAGAGAUAAGCAAACACAUUGAAGUACAGGUAGCCCAGGAAACUAGAAAUGUAUCUACUGGCUCUGCUGAAAAUGAAGAAAAGUCAGAAGUUCAAGCAAUCAUCGAAUCUACUCCUGAGCUGGAUAUGGACAAAGAUCUCAGUGGAUAUAAAGGUUCAAGCACUCCCACCAAAGGCAUAGAGAACAAAGCUUUUGAUCGCAAUACAGAAUCUCUCUUUGAAGAACUGUCUUCUGCUGGCUCAGGCCUAAUAGGAGAUGUGGAUGAAGGAGCAGAUUUACUAGGAAUGGGUCGGGAAGUUGAGAAUCUUAUAUUAGAAAAUACACAACUGUUGGAAACCAA
rnacentral:sRNA from 1 species